CACAGGGGUGGGGGGUCCCUCAGCCUGGAUUGUGGGAGGGCACAAGCCAGGCCGAGGGACUCCACUGGUGCAUG
rnacentral:pre_miRNA from 1 species